rnacentral:lncRNA from 1 species
UCUGAACCCAAACUUGAACCGUUGACCCGAAACGAGACCCGACUGAGUUGACCCGAGUUGGCUCAGUGAGUUGACCGGGUCUGACCCGGGUUGACCGAACCGAGACUGAGUUGUCCUGUGAUGUUCUUUUGGUCUUGGUAUAUGGAUUGGUUAACCGAGUUAUAACCAGACGAACCGAACCCACCGCGAACCCGAACCAACCACAUCUGAAGAGAACCUCAACCAAACCAAGCACCACCACUAACCGCCGCUGCCAUACGGUUAUCGAAACCGGCUGCCGUAGACUUCACCGCCACCUUCACUCAGCCACAACCACCCUGAAACAACACCCCACUAACCGGAGAACUUGGGUAUGUAAAAAAAACAAAAACAUAAGAAGAUAAAGGGAAUCGUGG